AUCUGAGCCCAUAGUGGGAGAUUGUUUUGAAGGGUCAUUGAUCCACCCGAUACCCAAAUAUCACCUCAGUGGGACCUCAGCCUCUGUUCCCUAAAAUACCUUUCACCUUAUCUUAAUUCAACUUACUUAUUCCAUAGCCCACCAGGGAAACAGACAACUGGUGUUAAACACCUGAAUAGAACAAGUAGAUAGAAACACAAACUAGACUCGAACAACAGAGGAUACAAAAUACCAUUCAACAACACAGCAGACACAUCAACAAAGACUGAAAGUUCAAGUCGAGCAUCACAGAAACAUAAAUCAGGCAGCAGGACAGACCACCAUGCUUUGAGCCUUCCAGGUCCUGGGUCUGUCUUUAGGGGUGACUGGCUGGUGUCUGGAGAACAGCUGCACUAGUUCCCAUUCCUGGAGGGUACGCAGCCAUUCUGGGGCUGUCACAACCAACAACUGGCAGUUCGAGGGCCUGUGGAUGACCUGUACAGCCACGUCUCUGGGCUCUGUGCAGUGCCAGAGAUACAAGACUGUACUGGGGCUACCAGACUACCCCUAAGCUCAAAACCCUUGUCACCGUCACCUUAUAGACUUAAGAUCCCUGCGUUUGAAACAAGACAACAGACACCCAGCACAUUGGACACCAAGCAGGAACAUACGACAACUUACAUAUCUCGUGAGGCCAUUUUCAAUCAUCCUGUGUGUCUGAGGGUUUCAACCUCAAGACUUUGGAAGCCUUUUCCUACACCUGCGUGUGUGGGCUCUGGGUCAUCAUGUCGACGGCGGUGGAACUAACUGGGUAAAGGUUACAUACAUGUCGAGGCCUGAUGAUCAUCGCUCUGCUCCUGGGUUUAGCGUCCAUCAUUGUGUCAGUGCUGGGGCUGAAAUGCACAAAGAUCGGCAGCACUUCUGAACAGGCAAAAUCACUCUGACCGGCGGCAGCUUGUUCAUCUUAUCAGGUCUUUCCACCUUGACUGCUGUGUCAUGGUACACUGCACGGGUGGUGCAGGAGUUCCAUGAUCCAUUUUUUGCAGGAGUAAUGUGAAUACACAUCCCAAAAGCUGAAGGUUUGAGCUGGGUACAGGUCUAUACAUGGGCUGGGGAGCUGCCUGUCUGGCCAUUCUAGGUGGGGUCAUGCUCUGCUGUUAUGGAAGAGAGGUCCAUCAGCACCACCAACAGGGGGAUAUUCAUACAACUACUCCAAAACAAGCCGUGUACAACAGAUCUACAGGGCAGCACCUGUGUCAGAGUUCAAAAGCUUAUGUUUAAAGCAGUUUCAAAUGUUUGUUUUUAAAAAAUCUCAUUGUUUGUUUGUAUGUUUCCAUUUGUUACUUCGGUAAAGUGUCAUUUUACUGGUUUGCAUUUGCUGUUAUAUUUUUGUUGUUUUGUUUUUGUUGUCUUCUUGAGUUGCGUGAGUCACUGUGAAUAUUAAUGUAAUGUUUAUAACUUUGAAGUGUAUUGAAAAUAAAACUAUUUCUCUAUUGAUGA